AGGAAACAUUCACAUUUAAGGUGCUAAAAAGUAAUUAAAUUAUUACAAAAAUAAGCAACACACUUGAAUGAUAAACUGAAAGAAACAGAGGUAAAAAUUACUCAAGAAAAGAAGAACGACGAGUUUGGACGGGGACAAUUAUAAAUACCCUUUUUGCUCACUGUUCACUGGACGGAGUUUUGGAGACCAAAGAGUACCCUAAAAGUUUUGGGAAUUCUUGGUUCCAUAGUUUAAAUUUGGUGCCUUUUUGUGGUUGUUUGAGUUUAAAGU
rnacentral:lncRNA from 1 species